CGCCUGUUUAUCAAAAACAUCGCCUCUUGUAAAGCAAAAAUAAGAGGUCCUGCCUGCCCAGUGCGAAACCCCUCUCAACGGCCGCGGUAUUUUGACCGUGCUAAGGUAGCGUAAUCAUUUGUCUUUUAAAUGAAGACCUGUAUGAACGGCUCCACGAAGGCUUAACUGUCUCCUUUUUCAAGUCAAUGAAAUUGAUCUCCCCGUGCAAAAGCGGGGAUACACCCAUAAGACGAGAAGACCCUAUGGAGCUUUAGAUGUUACAACAAGCAUUAUGUGCUAUUCCCAAACAAAGGGGAUAACCACUAGCCCCUGCCCAAACAUCUUCGGUUGGGGUGACCAUGGGAAACAAGAAACUCCCACGUCUCUGUAUUGGAAUCUCCUUAUUUAAACCCAAACAAACUUCUUCAAACGAGAGCCACCACUCUAAUUCAACAGAAUUUCUGACCACCGAUCCGGCAACGCCGAUUAACGAACCAAGUUACCCUAGGGAUAACAGCGCAAUCCCCUUUCAGAGCCCAUAUCGAUAAGGGGGCUUACGACCUCGAUGUUGGAUCAGGACAUCCUAAUGGUGCAACCGCUAUUAAGGGUUCGUUUGGUUCAACGAUUAAAGUCCUACGUGAUCUGAGUUCAGACCGG
rnacentral:rRNA from 1 species